rnacentral:rRNA from 1 species
UACGUAGGUGGCAAGCGUUGUCCGGAUUUACUGGGCGUAAAGAGCGCGCAGGCGGUCGUUCAAGUCGCGUGUGAAAGCCCCCGGCUCAACUGGGGAGGGUCACGCGAUACUGAUCGACUCGAAGGCAGGAGAGGGUAGUGGAAUUCCCGGUGUAGUGGUGAAAUGCGUAGAGAUCGUAAGGAAGACCAGUGGCGAAGGCGGGUCUCUGGACAGUUCCUGACACUGAGGCACGAAGGCCAGGGGAGCAAACGGG